GAUUAACGCUGGCGGCGUGCAUGAAACAUGCAAGUCGAGCGCGAUGCGAGCUUGCUCGCAUCUAGCGGCGCACGGGUGAGUAACACGUGAGCAACCUACCUCGGAGCCCGGGAUAGCCCUGAGAAACCAGGAUUAAUACCGGAUGAUGUCGCCGUGGGGCAUCCCAUGGCGAAGAAAGGCUUCGGCCACUCCAAGACGGGCUCGCGGCCUAUUAGCUUGUGGUGGGGUAAUGGCCUACCAAGGCGAAGAUGGGUAGCUGGUCUGAGAGGACGAUCAGGCCACACUGGGACUGAGACACGGCCCAGA
rnacentral:rRNA from 1 species